UGGGGAAUAUUGGACAAUGGGGGCAACCCUGAUCCAGCAAUGCCGCGUGUGUGAAGAAGGUCUUCGGAUUGUAAAGCACUUUCGACGGGGACGAUGAUGACGGUACCCGUAGAAGAAGCCCCGGCUAACUUCGUGCCAGCAGCCGCGGUAAUACGAAGGGGGCUAGCGUUGCUCGGAAUGACUGGGCGUAAAGGGCGUGUAGGCGGUUUGUACAGUCAGAUGUGAAAUCCCCGGGCUUAACCUGGGAGCUGCAUUUGAUACGUGCAGACUAGAGUGUGAGAGAGGGUUGUGGAAUUCCCAGUGUAGAGGUGAAAUUCGUAGAUAUUGGGAAGAACACCGGUGGCGAAGGCGGCAACCUGGCUCAUUACUGACGCUGAGGCGCGAAAGCGUGGGGAGCAAACAGGA
rnacentral:rRNA from 1 species